rnacentral:lncRNA from 1 species
AUAGUUUAAACAAUCAAUAAAUUGUGGUUUAUUCACAGUAAUAAAGAUGAAAAGUUGCACUGCACUUAGUAAUAUGGAUGAAUGGUAAGGAGUGCAAAAAUCUAGACACAUGGAAAGGCUAUUUAGAUAUGGAAGCUUUAGUGGUAAUACUAUGUAGAAGACCAAGAAAAUAACAUUGAGUCAAAGUAGUGGGAAUUUUGUGGAUAAAGAGAAAAAUGUUGCUUGUGUUUGAGAAGAGGUGGGGAAGCCUUAGGUGGUAAUGGCCUUCUGCUGCUUAGGCUGGGUGGUUUUCAGAGUUAAAUAUUGUUUUGUGUAUUUUUCCUUAUCGGUGCUUUGUUCUCUUACAUUAAAAGGACUUUAAGAGAUUACUAGUACCUCAAAAAACAGUAAUAUACUUCUCACUGAAGUGAAGCCUAGUCCAGGUGUUCCUAAUCAUGUUGACUCUAGUUUUGGUGAUGCUCAAGAUUUAGGCACUCCUGCGAAAAUGCAUCAAGUUGGGCAAUGUGGAAAUAACACAAGGGAAGUGUUCGUUAGAUCCAAGUCUGGAAGCAGCAGUUUCAUUAUCAACCAAUUGUCUAUAUUAUCCGUUGACACACAACUCUAUGGGGAUAUAGGAAAUAUAGUGCAGUUGAUUUCCCAGAAAGAAAAUGAGUGUGAAGAACACUGUAACACAUACCCAAACCACCACAUAGCAUGCCAAAGACAUGAGGCUAGGGACACACAUAAAUACAGGGAACUGGUUCAGAACCAGUUGGACUGGGACUUCUCAAUAGCACAAGAAAAGAAUUGUUACUGCUGCCUGGCCUGCACCCCCUGUUUGACAGGAUAAAUGUGCAUGGUUUUCCCAUGGGCUCCUUGAAAGAUAACCAGCCCUGAGGAUAUGUUGGGACCUUCUCAGGGAAGGCUUUUUGCUAGGUAAGGCUCUUUGGCACUAGGUGGCAGUAGAUACACUGUGCUCUAGUUUGCUGCCUCUUGCUCUGGUAAAAUACUGACAAAGCCAGCUAGAGGAGGAAAGGGUUCAUUUUCAUUACAUCUUACAAGUUAGAGUCCAGAAUCAAGGAAAGCCAGGGCAGGAGCAUGAGGCAGGAACUGAGGAAGCUCCAGGACCUCACCGAAAACCACAAGAGCCAACAUUCAAAUGCUUGCCUUGGUCGGACCUAUCAAUGAUGCAUUAAUUGGGUAAGUUUAAUUUUCUCCAAUAUACCUUUCUCCAUUCCAAUCUCCAAAUAAACAGAAGAGGUUAAAAAAAAAUGAGUAAGAGAUCAUAUUCUCUGAUCCACUGAACUGAAGAGAAGUUUGAGCCCUAAGAGCUACUGACAAGUUACUGGAAUGUGGGAAGUGACAGAGGGAAAUUGUAUCUAAAGGGUCGAUUUUCUAGAUUAGAUUCAGUCAUUACGGAGAACAUAACAUAUUUGUACCAGAGUACUAAUGAGAGAACAGAUCCUUGAAGUGAAACCAAAAAGAAAGAAAAGGGUGCAGCAACUGGAGAGACUUCCAAGAAGCCUAAGAAGCAAGGAGCCUCUGCUUAGUUAAGCCUGCACCCUGGGACUCAGAGAACCAAGACACCAAGAAAAUCACAGACUCACAAAGCUCACUCCUAACACUCUCGAGCUCCUGAACCAAAAGCCAAGUCACCAACCUUCAGGUCCCUUGUUAUACUAGGGAAAAAAAUUAAAUGUUUAAAACACUUAGUGGGAUCUUCUUUU